rnacentral:lncRNA from 1 species
AUUCAUCCUGCCGCCGUAUCGACCCGCGGCCGACCCCGCGCGGCCAGGCGCCCCCGCCCGCUGCCCUCUCCUUUCCCAGCCCGGCCUCCCCCGCGGGGGCUGUCACCGAGCGCCUGGCACGGCCGGGCCAUGCCCCGGGGAAGGAGGGACCAGGGCCGGGGGCGGGAGCCAGCCCUUGUGCUCGCAGCCCUGGGUUCGGAGCCCAGCUGCCCGGGAAGGUUUCCAGAUCUCCCUGAGCCUCAGUUUCCCCAUCUGUAAACUGGGUGGUGGUGGCUUCGUCCCCCGCUUUGAGAGGACAGCAGGAGAGGCGUCCUGAGAAUGCACAUUUGCGAGCGGGUGAAAAUUUCUGUGAAUGUUUAUAAGCACAUGGAACGGGCAUCUUUGUGGCUGCGGGAGUUGCACGGGUCACUCAUGAGGCCGCCCACGUGGCGCUUGUUGCUUCACCUCUCGAGUAACUGACGGUAUGUUCUGGCCCUCAGCUCUCCCGGGCAGUGUCCAUCACACUCAUGGCUUCCUAGACUUCCAUCUCCGGUCUAAUCACCUUCCGAACGCCAGAACCAUCACGUCUGCUGCCCUUGAACACCUCCCCUAGGUGUCCCUGUGGGCCACCCAGGUUCCCUCCACCCCAGUCUUCCCCACCUGCUUCUCCUUCAUGCUUCCCUCUCAGGGAGUUUGAGACCAGGCUGACCAACAUGGAGAAACCCCGACUCUACUAGAAAUACAAAAUCAGCUGGGUGUGGUGGCGCAUGCCUGUAAUCCCAGCUACUCGGGAGGCUGAGGCAGAAUUGCUUGAGCCUGGGAGGCGGAGGUUGCAGUGAGCCGAGAUUGCACCAUUGCACUCCAGCCUGGGCAACAAGAGCAAAACUCCGUCUCAAAAAAAAAAAAAAAAAAAAAGUAAAAGUAAAAGAAAGUCAAUCACCAAUAAUGCUGGAAUAUGUCAACUUUUCUCCCACCUCUUGCCACUGAUCCAGACCCCAUUCCCUCUGCCCGGGUGAUCCCUUAUAGCUACCCAGGGCUGCGGCUUUGCUCCAUUCAAGCCAUUUUCCACGCAGCAGCAGCCAGGGCCGUCUUUCCAGAGUGUAUUAGGUUGGUGCAAAAGUAACUGUGGUUUUUGCAAUUAAAAGUAAUUGUAGGCCAGGCACAGCGGCUCAUGCCUGUAAUCGCAGCACUUUGGGAGGCUAAGACAGUUGGAUCACUUGAGGUCAGGAGUUCGAGACCCACCUGGCCAACAUAGUGAAACCUGGUCUCCACUAAAAAUACAAAAAUUAGCUGGGCAUGGUGGCACACGCCUGUAAUCCCAGCUCCUGGGGGGGUGGGGGGGCAGGGCUGAGGCAGGAGAGUCGCUUGAACCCAGGAGACGACAGCUGCAGUGAGCUGAGAUCACGCCACUGCACUCCAGCCUAGGCGACAGAGUGACUCUGUCUCAAAAAAAAAAAAAAAAAAGGAAUUGCAAAAACCGCAAUUACUUAAUAGAUCUGACCAAGACUCUCCCCAGGUUCAAACCCCGGCUUCAAACCUUUUGCUCCUUAUAGUCUUUUUUUAAAACUCUUAUCUGUGGCUCAUUGUGUCUCAAGACAGCCAAGCAAACCGAACUGCUAGGAAUUUUCCCAAUGGAACAUUCUCUCUGCAAGUCCUUUGCUCUUGCGGUUGCUCCUCCAGGAGCUCCUGCCUCCCUCUUCUCUUCCCUUCCUUGAGGCUCAGCAUGGGAGAGGCCCUGCUGCAGGUGCCCUCUGACCUCUCAGGUAGGGGAGGGGGCCUCUGUCCUCUGCAAACCUGCGCUGAGUGCUCUGGAUGGUUCCGUCCCUUGGAUUGGGCCUCCCCAAGGGCAAGACCCUGCCUGGUUCACCCUGGCCGCUCAUGCAGAGGCCUGCCUAACAUAGCUGCUGAAUGAAUGAAUGAAUGAAUUGAAUUGAAUAAUGGACAAAGCCCAACAGGGAGGGUUAGCAUAAAGGGGAGACAGG